AUGUCUACCUCAAGCUCCCGCGCCACCUCGCAGAUGCAGAGCCAGGCGCGUGUGGACAUGCCUGUCUUCGUCUGUCCGCGGUGCCGGGUGGGCGUUGAUCGAAGGGUUUCUUAGACACCGAGGAACCAGAAUCGUCUGUUCUACGUGUGCAGCGAGAAUGGGGUGACAUGCUUCUUUCUUUGGGUCGAUGCUCUGGCCAAGACUAUGAAUGAACCGCAAGAAGAGCAUGAAGAAUGGUUGCGCAUGCUGCCACGAACGGUAGUGGCCGCACCACGAGCUCCGGAAGAAGAGAUGGAGGGCGAAGCACGCACUGACAGAGAGCUGGCUAUUGAGCUUAGGAUGUUGAAGAAAAAGGUUAGGAAGCUUGAAGAUCAAGCACUACCAAUACCCAUUUGCAAAUACUAUUGGGCAUUUGUAGGUAUGGUAAUCGCACUGGUUGUAAUAUUGAAAAUGUAUGGAAAGGCAUGA
rnacentral:rRNA from 1 species